UGGAUUCUAAAAGCUGUGACUACCAGAGGCUCCUGGUUGAAGGAACUCAUGGUCAGCUCGCCCUAGGCCACUGAUAGGCUGCUGAAGCUGUGAUGAGGGGGCUUGCCUGGAUGAAUUUCUACUAAGAAGCUUCAAAGCAGCAUUCACCUUGAUGUUAACUGGGUCUACACAGAAUCCAUUGUAUCAUGAAGAAGUAUCAGAGAGAUAAGGAGUCCUGCAAAACCAUAAUUUGUGUGCACGCUGACAUGCUUCAGGAGCCUGGAUAAGAA